GUUGCCAAACCGGGUGGGAAUGCGUCAUUGGUACGUAAUCUGAGAGGCCCUGCAUCUCAUAUCACGCCAUGGUGCCCCUCCCCCCCCCCGCGUCACAUGACCGGCUCGGUCCCACCCUCGAAGACUACAGAACGUGACGCUUUGAUUGUCACGUGUCUCGGCGCUGUAGACUCCAUCGCUGGAAUACCCUUCCUCCCUACGAAGUCCUCGGCACCCCGGCGCCCAAACUACGCCCCUCCAGCCCGCACGAGGCGGGGAGGGGUCUGCCGACUAUCCUCAGAGACCCUUUGAGGCAGUGGGUGGUAGGACCCUUGCUGAAUUCUUUCUUUUGCGCCCAGGGGCGUGGGCAGAGAACUUAAAAUUCGGAGCUGUUAGCAUCAUGGGACCUUGAAAUUCAGGAAAUAAUAAGAUCCAGCGUCAGAGAAUUGCAGGGUUUUGUAGACAGAGAAUCUGGGGGUGGAAAGUGACCUCACCCAAGACAGAAAUCUCCCGCAUGCUCCUGGCUCAGCCUCACAGGUGGGCGGCUGGCGCCCUGCUUGAACACUGCAGUUCCGCUGCACUCACCACCUUCCGAGCAUGAGACCAUUUCAGGGCAACUAAAGCUGAGAAAAGUGUCUGUAUUAUAUUGAACAGUCUGCCACUUACAUCUCUCUCAUCAGGGUCUACCCUCUGAAGCCCACAAAAAAAUCUGCACUCAUUCCACAUUAUAGUGGACUGUGAGCUCUUGAGGUCAGGGCAUGACAGUCUUGUUCGUGAAUCUCCAGUGCCUAGUUCAGUAUGGGCCCUCAGUAAAUAUCUGUGGACAGACCUUUAGCCUUUCAUGUACCUAAAGAUAAAGCUGGUGGUUCUUGUGUUUCAGACUUUAGCCUCUCAUGAUGACACUUACCUAACCCUCUAGACGGUAUUCAUGCAAUGCAUAUUUAUUGGGCACUUAUGGGCCAGAGACUGUUCUAGGGGCUGGAGAUAAAUCAGGGCCUAACAGACAAAAAUCCUUUCACUUGUGGACCUUACAUUAUGUAGGAGUCGUCCCCAGGGCUAUUCAGUGAGUCUCAGCAUAGCCAGAAUAAAAGUCAGGUCUCCUGGAUUCCAGGGAAUUUAAUCUUUUUAACGUUUAUUUUUGAGAGAGAGUGUGAGGGGGAGAGGGACAGAGAGAGAGGGAGGCACAGGAUCGGAAGCAGGCUCCAGGCUCUGAGCUGUCAGCACAGAGCCCGACACGGGGCUAGAACUCGUGAACCGUGAGAUCAUGACCUGAGCUGAAGUCAGACACUCAACCGACUGAGCCACCCAGGUGCCCCUCUUUACAGGCAAUUGACAUGAAGGUUCAAGCAAAGGAAGAAUGACCUCUCUCUAGUAUGCCCUGAACACUUAAAAUUUUAUCAGAUUUUAAAGAAAUCCAAAACCGAUGGAUAGAUAUACCAUGUAAAUGAAUAGGAAGACUCAAUACUGUAAUGACAUCAGUUCUUCCAAAAUAUAUCUACAAAGUCAGCACCAUGAUCCAGUGUCUCUGCUGCAUGACGUUGACUCUGGUUUUGAAGGACAGAAGGGCUGGCGUGACUCAGUGGGGAGCCAGAUACCAAUUGGCUAAGAGAAUGUUUCGAUAGUCAAACAUUUCUUCCUGGAUUGGAUCCCAGCUCUUGCCUUGAAUAAAUUACUUAAACUCUU